rnacentral:misc_RNA from 1 species
GAAAUGCGAUAAGUAAUGUGAAUUGCAGAAUUCCGUGAAUCAUCGAAUCUUUGAACGCACAUUGCGCCCCCUGGCAUUCCGGGGGGCAUGCCUGUCCGAGCGUCAUUUCUGCCCUCAAGCACGGCUUGUGUGUUGGGUGUGGUCCCCCCGGGGACCUGCCCGAAAGGCAGCGGCGACGUCCGUCUGGUCCUCGAGCGUAUGGGGCUCUGUCACUCGCUCGGGAAGGACCUGCAGGGGUUGGUCACCACCAUAUUUCACCACGGUUGACCUCGGAUCAGGUAGGAGUUACCCGCUGAACUUAAGC